rnacentral:rRNA from 1 species
CCUACGGGCGGCUGCAGUGGGGAAUAUUGGACAAUGGGGGCAACCCUGAUCCAGCCAUGCCGCGUGUGUGAAGAAGGCCCUCGGGUUGUAAAGCACUUUCAGUGAGGAAGAACGCUUGGUGGUUAAUACCCAUCAGGUAAGACAUCACUCACAGAAGAAGCACCGGCUAACUCCGUGCCAGCAGCCGCGGUAAUACGGAGGGUGCGAGCGUUAAUCGGAAUUACUGGGCGUAAAGCGCGCGUAGGUGGCUUGAUAAGCCGGUUGUGAAAGCCCCGGGCUCAACCUGGGAACGGCAUCCGGAACUGUCAAGCUAGAGUGCAGGAGAGGAAGGUAGAAUUCCCGGUGUAGCGGUGAAAUGCGUAGAGAUCGGGAGGAAUACCGGGGGCGAAGGCGGCCUUCUGGACUGACACUGACACUGAGGUGCGAAAGCGUGGGUAGCAAACAGGAUUAGAUACCCCUGUAGUC